UACGGAGGGUGCGAGCGUUGUCCGGAAUCAUUGGGCGUAAAGGGCGCGUAGGUGGCGGGACAAGCGUGCGGUGAAAGCUCGGGGCUCAACCCCGAGUCGGCCGUGCGAACUGUUUUGCUGGAGCACUGUAGAGGCAGGCGGAAUUCCGGGUGUAGCGGUGGAAUGCGCAGAUAUCAGGAGGAACACCAAUAGCGAAGGCAGCUCGCUGGGACGGUACUGACGCUAAGGCGCGAAAGCGUGGGGAGCGAACAGG
rnacentral:rRNA from 1 species